rnacentral:rRNA from 1 species
AUUGAACGCUGGCGGCAGGCCUAACACAUGCAAGUCGAGCGGAUGAAGGGAGCUUGCUCCUGGAUUCAGCGGCGGACGGGCGAGUAAUGCAUAGGAAUCUGACUGGUAGUGGGGGAUAACGUCCGUAAACGGGCGCUAAUACCGCAUACGUCCUGAGGGAGAAAGUGGGGGAUCUUCGGACCUCACGCUAUCAGAUGAGCCUAGGUCGGAUUAGCUAGUUGGUGGGGUAAAGGCCUACCAAGGCGACGAUCCGUAACUGGUCUGAGAGGAUGAUCAGUCACACUGGAACUGAGACACGGUCCAGACUCCUACGGGAGGCAGCAGUGGGGAAUAUUGGACAAUGGGCGAAAGCCUGAUCCAGCCAUGCCGCGUGUGUGAAGAAGGUCUUCGGAUUGUAAAGCACUUUAAGUUGGGAGGAAGGGCAGUAAGUUAAUACCUUGCUGUUUUGACGUUACCAACAGAAUAAGCACCGGCUAACUUCGUG